rnacentral:rRNA from 1 species
UACGAAGGGAGCUAGCGUUGUUCGGAAUCACUGGGCGUAAAGCGCACGUAGGCGGAUGUGUCAGUCAGGGGUGAAAUCCCGGAGCUCAACUUCGGAACUGCCCUUGAUACAGCACGUCUUGAGUCCGGAAGAGGUGGGUGGAAUUCCUAGUGUAGAGGUGAAAUUCGUAGAUAUUAGGAAGAACACCGGUGGCGAAGGCGGCCCACUGGUCCGGUACUGACGCUGAGGUGCGAAAGCGUGGGGAGCAAGCAGG